ensembl:lincRNA Gm26753 predicted gene, 26753
GGCUUCCUCCCACAGAUCCAGCUGUAAGGCUGACCUGGCCUUGAUCUGCACGGUCUUCCCACCUGCUUGUUGCGAGCCUGGACCAGAACUGGAUCUGAUAUGACGCAGCAUCCCGUUAUUCUCAAGUCAACUCUCUACAAUGACUCCUGAGAUCAUUUACCAGAAGGGUAUCAGUGUAUCCUCCACUGAGAAGAAAAUGAAGGAUGUAAUAUGAAUGAAUACCUACAUAUAAGGAAGGCAAUUACAGAACAAUGCUACUUCAUGGACUCACAUUAGGUUUAUAUUUGUAAAAAAAAAAAAAUUCCAAUCUGACAUCAGCAUAGUCAAGUAAAUUUUGUUUUAUACUAGUGUUAAGUCACUGUAAUUCAGAUACAAUAAGGUGCAAUGUCUUCUAACAGUUACAACAGGCAGGACACCUGUUGUGUCCUGCUCAUUCACUUGCCCACCAUGGUUGUGGCUAUAUCAUCUCCAUGUUUCUGGGCAAUCUCAUUUGCCUCAGACAGGUGACCAGAUCUAACUUGAAUGUAAUAAUCCAUGUGUUCUCUGAGGUAGCCCAUGACUAAUGAAAGAAUAUUUAGAAAGAACACAAACGUCUAUCACAGUACUGUACUCAGUAUAUGAAGAAAAGACAGAAUAGAGAAAUCUAAGGAAUGAUUUUUCCAAAUUCUAUUUUCUGAUCAGAUCGUCACUAUAUUUAGGGAGAAAUUUCUGUUUGCAUAUCUUGAAUUUUUCCUCACAAUUAAAAAGUAUGUGAAAUGCAAUAAUGAAAUGGAGCUUUAAGGUAUGACUGCAGCAGCUACAAAACUUGUGACCUACCAUCUGUCCUGCCCACAAGAUGGCAUGGCAAUGGUGGAACAGAAAUUAUGGAAGUAGCCAACCAAUGUCUGAUUUGAGUUAAGGCUCACUCCAAAAGGUGAAAGUCAUACCCAACCUGCCUGCAUAACCAAGGACCAGAGCCUAGACAGCCCAGAAACCUAGGAUAAAACAAACACUAGUCAUGUAAAAUGAGAAAUAGAAGUAUGAACAAAAUCGACUACUAAUUCUGUUGUGCUGUACUAAUAGAUCAGUGCUUUAUUCAGUCAUCAUGUGAGAAGAUGUCUACAACUGCAGAUGGGAACAGAUGCAGAAGCCCAAAGUCAGACAUCAGGAGAAGAGAGAGUCUACAUGGAGGUCUCCAUCAAAUGCUUCCCCUCAGAGCUCAGGGAACCGUAGAGAGGAUGAGGCAGAAAGAGUGUUAACAGCCAGGAGAGAUAGAGGACACCAGGACAACAAGACCCUCUGAAUAAGCAAGUGCAAGUGAACUCACAGGGACUGAAGUAGCAGACACAGGGCCUACACAGGUCUGCACAUAUAUACUAUAUCUUUACGCUUAGCAUUAUUAUAUGACUGCUGAAUGUGAGGACAAUGAGGAAGAAGAGGUGGUUGGGAAAUCAGAAGGGAAAGACAUGUCAUUCUCUAAACUCCAUACCAUACAACUAUUAUAACCAGUAACCAACAGCAAAUGCACUUACCUGCACUGGCCUCACAGAACACCACAGACUAGGAAAGGGAAAAGGCUCACUUUAUUUCUUAGAUGUUGGCUAUGAAUAUACUGUAGGAGAAGAAUCAUUGCCUUUAGUUGUUAUCCUGUGCUGAGCGCAUUAGGCUCGAGCACACAUCAGGCUCCAAACCCACAGUCUCACAUAUGGCUCUGGUUCAUCUCAGUGGAUCACAAGCAAUAUGAAUAGAGAUGAACACAGUAGAGUGACUGUUGGAAUUGUGGACCAGGAUAGUGGAGAGGUAGGAGGUAGAUAGGCAGUAUUUGAUGUAUACUUUCCCAUGUGCACACAGACACACACAGACACACAGACACAGACACACACAGACACACACAGACACACAGACACACACACACACUGUGUUAUACAUUUAUAUGUCGGUGUGAAAUAGACAAUAAUAGACAAUCGGUGGGAGAUAUUUACUCGUUCAUUCAUUCAUUCAUUCAUUGUAGACAAGGUUUCUCUGUAUAAACCUGGGUUUAAAGGUACCUAUAAUCAACUCAAUUUUCUUUUAAAUUACCACAUCAGUCUUUAAUUUGUUUUUAGUUGUACAAGUAUCUAGUGGGAUUUAUUUAUUUGUUUAUUUUUGUUUUUGAGAAAUCACUAAGAUCAGCCUACCUCUGCCUCUGGAAUGCUAGGACUAAUGGGAUGUUCCACCAAGCCCAGCUCAGUAUCUGCUUUAGCAUCAAAUAAUAAUUAGAGUCAGGAACUGUCUCAUUUUAUGUUAAGAAGUAAGUCAAUGAUAAGUCAUAUUGCUUUUAGUUCUAUGUAGUUCUGAUAGAAUUCUGUGGACGUGGGAUUAUUUUAAGGAUAGCAUUUUAUACUCCUUCAGUCACAUUGUUACUUGUAGUCUUGUUCAUAUUAUUUAUUUCAUAUUGUGUGUUAUAUACAUCUGAAACCUCAUCUAUUUCCAUUAGAGUUUCCAGUUUAGUGCAAUAGAAAUCUUUAAUGUCAGUAGAUACAAGCUCUAAUUGUUAACUCAUUUCUAGCAAGUAGGUUGUGCCUUUACCUUGGGUAAACUGUUAGGUCAUUACAAGCUGGGCAGUGGUGGUGUACUCCUUUAAUCAAAGCACUCAGGAGGCAAAGGCAUGUAGAUCUCUGUGAGUUCAAUGCAAUCCUGGCCUACAGAGUGAGUUUCAGGUCAGCCAAUGUUACACAGUGAAGGUCUAUCUCUACAAAUAAAUAAGCACAUAGG